UACUAGAGUAGCACUCGCAUAUCAAUAAGCGGAGGAAAAGAAACUAACAAGGAUUCCCCUAGUAACGGCGAGUGAAGCGGGAAGAGCUCAAAUUUGAAAUCUUAAAGGGUUUCCCUUUACGAAUUGUAGUUUAAAGAAGUGUUUUCUGUUGAGGUUUUGGUAAAAGUUCUUUGGAAUAGGACAUCAUAGAGGGUGAGAAUCCCGUAUUUGACCUUUACUUUCAACUUUGUGAUACACUUUCAAAGAGUCGGAUUGUUUGGGAAUGCAGUCCAAAAUGGGUGGUAAAUUUCAUCUAAAGCUAAAUAUUGGCGAGAGACCGAUAGCGAACAAGUACCGUGAGGGAAAGAUGAAAAGAACUUUGAAAAGAGAGUUAAACAGUACGUGAGAUUGUCAAAAGGGAAGCGUUUGACACCAGUGUUGUUUUUCUGAAAAUCAAUUAAAGAACUGUUUAUGCUAAGUCUGUUUAGACUUUAUCAGCUAAUCUGUUUAGUUUUAGGCUUUUCUUUAAUGCACUUUUCAGUUAACAAGUCAACAUCAAUUUCUUUUGCUGUAAAAAAGCUUGAGGAAGGUGGCUUGAGAUUCGUCUUAAGUGUUUAUAGCCUCUUGCCUAUGCAGUCGGAGAGAUUGAGGUCUGCAGCGUAGAUCCUUCGGGGCUAAAUGCAUUUGUGCUAAGUUAUAGCAUUUUAUAGACAACUUGUUGACUAUGAUUUGUCUUGUAGCUUACUCGCUUAUGUUAUUUUACCUACGCUUAGGAUGUUGAGCGCAUGUCUCUCUCU
rnacentral:rRNA from 1 species